ACCAUACUUGGAUUGGCUGGGAUGAUACUGGGAUCAGACUGGGAUCACAGUGGGAGCAACUUGGCCCAUGCUGAGGGCAACUGGGAUCAUAUUGGGAGCAACUGGGAGCAUACUGAGGGUAACUGGGGUCAUACUGGGGUCAUACUGGGAGUGACUAGGAGCAUGUUGGGGGCAGCUGGGACAGGGAAUGUCGAGGGACAGGGAAUGGCCCUGGGACAUGGAACAGUUCAGGGAUAGGUAAUGGCCCUGGGAUAUGGAAUGGCCCCAGGACACGGAACAGCUGAGGAACAUGGAAUGGCUGGUUCCUGCCCUGGAUCCCACGGCCAGGAAUGCUCGUUUUGCCCCUCGUGGGCAGCGAGGGGUGCUGGAGGGUCCCUGUGAACCCCCUGCCCCCAAAUCACUCCUGGCACCGCUCCGGGGCUCUGUCACCGAUCGGUUGCUGCCCUGGGGCAGAGGGCUUGUUGCAGAGUUCGGGAUUAAACCCAACAAACUCGGGCGGGGGGGCAGCCCUGGACACCAGGGCUUUGCUGCCACGGCUCUGCAGGGGCUUCCCACGGGGUCACGGCCUCCUUUGGGCAGCCCCCGCUCCGGCGUGGGCUCCUCCCCGGGCUGCAGGGGGGACUCUGCUCCAUCCCGAACUCAUCCACAGGUCACAGGCCCUUCAGCUCAGGUUCUCACGGAGCUCCAGCCGGUUCAGUGCAGCGGCGCUGCCCCGGUGUCCCGCCAGGCCGGGCACCUCGCCAGGGCUGUGACUCCUAAAGCAGCGGCUCCGGGCACCUCGCCAGGGCUGUGACUCCUGAAACAGCGGCUCCGGGCACAUCGCCGGGGCUGUUUCUCGUAAAGCGCGUGGCUUUGAGGAAAGGGAGGUGCUGCCGCAGCGUCAGCGGGAGCAGGGACAGGGCAGGACUGAGCUGGCAUCGCCCUCCUGAGCCCGGGUGUCCCACAGGGCCGGGUCCAGCUGUGCUCUCUCUUCACGGCCCAUUCCAUCUGCCCUGACAGUGGGGGUAAACUGCAGCCAAGGCUGAGCUGAACGAGGCUUUGUCACCACUUCUGAUGCCUUGGGCACAAGAUCUGGUGUGUCGUGGGCAGGGAGAUGGCACUUGUUACCCUGUAGUGAGUCAAGGGGAGGAGAGUGAAUUCUGCUCCGUUGAUGGGAUUGCAGAGGAUCCCUUGGGUUCCCAGGCCGGAUGGACCAAGGUGGUGGUUGUGGGCCAGACUGGGGGAGUGGGGGCUGGGCUGGACCAGGACGAAGCAAGUUUGGAUUUGAGCUUAGUUCUCUCUUCCCAAGAUUGCUGUGCCAUAUCCAGAGAGAAUUUGUGAGGGGGAAGGAGGAUGUGAGCCUAAGAGGAGAAAUAAUAGGCAGCUUCCUCUCCACAUCCCACUCUGUCUCCCCAGAGCCUGCCCCUCCAUCCCAGCCUGUGGGUCCCACUUUGGGGUCCAAUGACCCCCCCCCAGGUGUCUCCUUGCAGGGACACCUCAGGUCAGGGCUGAAUUACUCUUUUAUUUUCAGAUAAAAAGUAGAAAUUCCUGUUGACUGGUUGGAUUCCCUCUCUUUUGGUCACUACAGAAAAGACCCUUUGAAUAAUUCCCACGUGCACUUGUGGAUUCAUUUCCCUUCCCUGGGCAGCCAAAAAAAAAAAAGGCCACAACUCUAGUGGCAUGUAAUAGUUUUGAACUGCUCUUUAGGACACAAAAGUCCUUUUUUCCCCCAAACCCUGUGCCUUUGGGAGUAUUUUCCAUGGUAGGAUCCUCUGUUAUUCCCCAGCGGAUCUGUUUUCUCCUCAUUUUCCAACUCCACCUGUUUUUCACUCCAAAAUGCCCUAAACUGUAGCCUGGGUGUCAGAGACUGAAAUGGUUAAUUAUUUAUGUAUUCUAGGAGACUUUUGCAGGCUUUUGACUUGCAUGAUACCUCUGAUGAGCAAUUGGGCCCCUCCCUCCAUUGCUGAGGGUGUGAAGCCCUGAAAAGGCAAGAGCUGAGCUUUCAGGCUUUUGACUGUUGAUACAUCUGCUGAGCAAUCAGGCCCCUCCCUCCCUCUGCUAAUCUUGAAAGGCGGGAACCAGGCGAGACACAAAAAACUCAGCACACAGACCUAGGAGAUGUUGGAGGCUCGAGGCACGGCCCGUGACACUAACCAUGGAUAUAAUAACCCAUAACUUCUUGGAGUAUGGGGGCUUCCCUCCUUCACUCCCAGCAGAUCAAGGCCACCACUUCAACUGACAGACAUGGAAGCAUCGCUGGACCCCGUGGGCGGUGACUAUAUACAUCUGUCCACUCUCAGCUUUUCUUUCCCUUAUUCUCCCUUGCUCUUAUCCUGCCUUUCUCUCCCCUAUGCAUUUUCUUCCCCCCCACAAAGGUUAUCUCUGUGUCACAUUGUUGUACAACAGCUGUUGUAUGCUAGCAAACUGCUAGCAUGCCUGUUGAUACAGAAUUGUUAAAAUAAACCUUGCCAGUAUAUGUUUUCAGA